rnacentral:rRNA from 1 species
AUUGAACGCUGGCGGCGUGCCUAACACAUGCAAGUCGAGCGGUAACAGGUGUAGCAAUACAUGCUGACGAGCGGCGAACGGGUGAGUAAUGCUUCGGAAUCUGCCCAUGUAGUGGGGAAUAACCAGCCGAAAGGUUGGCUAAUACCGCAUACGACCUACGGGUGAAAGCAGGGGAUCGCAAGACCUUGCGCUAUUGGAUGAGCCGAAGUCGGAUUAGCUAGUUGGUGAGGUAACGGCUCACCAAGGCGACGAUCCGUAGCUGGUCUGAGAGGACGACCAGCCACACUGGGACUGAGACACGGCCCAGACUCCUACGGGAGGCAGCAGUGGGGAAUAUUGGACAAUGGGGCGAACCCUCGAUCCAGCGACGCCGCGUGUGUGAAGAAGGCC